rnacentral:rRNA from 1 species
GUCAUAUGCUUUUUUCAAGGGGCUAAGCCAUGCAGGUGUGAGAUCGCAUUGCGGGCAUGCAAACACCAACCGGUCUGCGAAUGGCUCAUUACUACAGCUGCAAAAUCCGCACGACAUCGGUGCCGCUGCGUUGUGCUGUCGCUCAAAACGCGCAGUGGUGUUGCGAGGUUCCAAACCUUUUCCACUGGCAUGGGCGUGUUUCAUCUCCCAGGGAUUGCUGUCCGCAUCCUCCGGCUGAAGUUGGAGAGGACCCGAGGAACAAACCAGGUGCAGUUCCGCCCCUGUGUGGGGUUGUUCUGCAUGCUCCUUGGGGGCACUCGCCCCGGCCUGCGAGCGAUCCGGCAUGCAGUCAAUUCCAAACCUGGUCAGCGCUGAAUGUGGAGACAACCCUUUGAAACAGUCGGCCAAUACAUGUGGAAUGCCGAACCCUCGUGGUGACCAACCUCUUCUCAGUGGGUCUUCUUUUCGCAACGCAAAGGAGAAAGGAGAAAUGCAUAUGUUCUCUCAAACCCGUCAAAAAUGGUGGCCGCGGGGUGGACGGACAAUAUACACAGCGUUUGCGCAUGAACGUGGAAACAAGCCGCUCCAUGUUCCCCAUUUCCCCAGCGCGUGUGGCUCACCAAAAAGUGCGCGGUUUUUUUGGGCGAUGCGCUUCCUCCACUCCUUGCAGAGAAUUGAUGACCGGGUUGGCAAAAGGGGAAUCAAAGCAGAGUAAAACCCCACACAGACAAGGGAGCCAUCCCCAGCACCGAAAACCGCGGAGAGGAAAAAAGUGUUCUCGGUGUUGAAGCGCAGAGGAUGGCGCGCGUCUCCCCAUUGGUCGUCUGCCAAACUGUGUGCGCGGCGUGUGCGAGCGUUUCUCACACAGGUCGCUUUCUUGCAUUUCCCCCGCACUUGCUUUGUUUCAUUGGAAAACAGCGCGGAAGAGCAUGUUGGUUCGCAUUUGAUCGACACAAAGGCUCGUCUCAAUGUGUGCAAAGGGCAAGAGAUCGCAAUGAAAGGGAGAUGGCAAGAGUGGCCCGGAAAAGAGGGAAGCGCGGAAAGAGAUGUGCGUUGCGGUGCAGCGUUGUGCAAUCUGGAGGGACGCUGGCCUUCUCUUUCCCCUCGUUUUGUGACGCCGGGAAACUCCACCUCUCUUUGCUAUCCCCAUUCGAGAGGCGUUUGCGCCCUAUACGGUGUAUUGCACGGAUUUGAAACGCCUUCGUGGACGAAGCAGAUCAAACAUGGAACCAUUCUCUCUCUGUUGUGACACGUUGUGUAGCAGCAUCCGCCGUUGGAAGGGGAAUCAAAGCAGAGUAAAACCCCACACAGACAGGGAUCCAUCCCCAGCACCGAAAACCGCGGAGAGGAAAAAGUGUUCUCGGUGUUGAAGCGCAGAGGAUGGAGCGCGUCUCCCCAUUGGUCGUCUACCAAACUGUGUGCGCGGCGUGUGCGAGCGUUUCUCACACAGGUCGCUUUCUUGCAUUUCCCCCGCCGCACUUGCUUUUCUUCCUCCUGGCGCGAAAGGGGAUGAGGAAGAGGGGCAAGAGAGGUGGUAUUUGCGGCCGGCGCGGGCGGCAACAACGUGGCGAAAAGAAAAACAGAGCAGUGUUGGAAAGGUUGGAACCGAGCCGAUAGCAAGCAAUCCUUUGUCGUAGACGGAUUGCUUCAGCGCAGUCGCAUGAGCAGCUGCCCUAUCAGCCAUCGAUCAUGGUGCAGUGAACCAUCGUGGCAGUUACGGGUAACGCGGAAUGAGGGUUCGAUUCCGGAGAGGGAGCCUGAGAAAUGGCUACCACAACUAAGGUUGGCAGCAGGCGCGCAAAUUGCCCAAUCUCAAAGUCCUGGAUGAGGCAGCGACGGAACAUGGCACACUGUGUUGUCUAUCAUGGCAACCUGUGUGGAAUGGAUGAGUUCCUAAAUCAUGCAAUGAGCAUCAACUUGAGGACCAGUCUGGUGCCAGCACCCGCGGUAAUUCCAGCUCAAGUGGCGUACACUGACGUUGUUGCUGUUAAAAAGCUCGUAGUUGAAUGCCAAGGACGGAGCGACUGGCGCGGUUGUUGUUGCCCAUCUGAGGACCGGUUGCCAAUCACUUGGGGUUACGAGGACCACGAAAACGCGUGUGCAAAGCCUACUUGCAUCGACAGCACACCUCCUGGGAGGCGGCUCCAACCCGUGCCCCACCCUGUGAGGGUAACGUGCGACGGAUCGUAUGGUCUUUGCCUCUGCUUGUCCUCCCCCAACAGACCGUUGCUUCCUCUGGGCCCCCGCGCUACCGUCCCGCUUCAAUGUCCUACGGCAGACACUGAGGCACGUUACACGGAAGCGAAUUCUCUCUUCUUUGCGGACCACCUUCCCAACAGCCGAUGCGUCCACGCUCGUUUCUUCGUGUUGCGUUUCCCCCGGAAGAGGAGGAAGGAACGGUUUGCCAGCACCGAGGGGUCCGUGCGGGGAAACGGCAAGGGCGACUGGUUCCCCACCGAGUGCCUCGUCUUUGCCCGUUUGCCUUCGCCCAAUGCCGCUCCCCUCGGGGUCCAGAAAAGUGCGUUCUUUCCUUUCGUUUGCGCCGGGGGGAAGACUUCGAAGAACAUGGCCACUCGAGUGAGAUCGUCCGUGAAUCGUUACCGUGACUAAAUCAGAGUACUACAAGCAGUCGCGGAUCCUUCCAGCGUUCCGUGCGUGACUGUAUGCUCAAGUGCGAAAUAGCAAGGGAUCGUCCAAAUGGAUGGCAAAAGAAAAGGGGCUCCACCAAGAGGAAAAAGCAAUGCGCCGAGGCCUCUCCAAUUUCUCUGUGCGCGGGUGAGAAAGCAGGGGGUGAGGCUUCUUCGUUCCAAAGCGGGCAAAUCCGUGCACUGGGCAAGACAUCCCACUUCGCACCAAGGGGGGAAUCCGUGUGCGCUAGUUCUCCAAGAGAAAGGAGUGUGCUGCAAAUGAGAUGCCCCAUUUGCUGCGGUGAACCCCAAAUGGCAAGGUGGUGUUGUGCGCGGAUCCGUUGCUUUCCGGCGUGUGUGCGAGUGAUGCUUCCCUUAUUUUGCUCCCAUUUGUUCCGACAGUCUUUAUGAACCAACUCUCAUGGAGAAUUUGGAUUGCGAAGGAACGCUCAGGAAUGCGGGGUGUUGUACACAGGCCGGGCUAUCGUGUUUGCCAACCAAGCCGUACCCGCGUCCAUGUUUGUGCCUCCCUUAGCGCCUGGCCCACACAGAGUGCUGCGUCGGUGUUGUGUUGCGCGAAGCGUUUGUAUUCCCCGGCCCGCUGGCUGGGCUGUGUCGAACCUUCCGCGCACUUGCUUCCCGUCCCCUCGCAGUGGGCGCCCACCCAUCUUGCCAGUACUUCCUUUCCUUGUGAUGACCGGGGCCGCUGUAUGCCAUGGGUACUCAGAGGCGAGGGGUGAAAUCCGUAGACCCUCUGAGGACCACCAACGGCCAAAGCACGUGGCAACUUCGCGCCCGCCAAUCAAGAACGAGAGUGUGGGGAUCGAAGAUGAUCAGAUACCGUCAUAGUCCACUGCUGUAAACGAUGCCAACUGGGAAACGGGCGUGUGUUCCGUUCGGAAUGUCGCGUCCGGUUCUUCCCACCUCCAUGAACGAGAAAUCCAAGUGUAUGGGUUCAGGGGGGAGUAUCGUCGCAAGGCUGAAACUUAAAGGAAUUGACGGAGUGGCACCACAAGGCGUGGAGUGUGCGGCUUAAUUUGACUCAACACGGGAAACUUUACAGAUCCGAUCGUGUGCAAGGAUGGACAGGCUGAAGCACUUUCUCGAGCUCCGCAAAAGUGGUGCAUGGCCGUUCCUGGUUGGUGGAGUGAUCUGUCUGGUUGAUUCCGGUAACGAACGAGGUCUCCGCUACUCAGUAGACCACAUCCUCGCUGUAGGGAAUCUCGCGCCGCCGCGCCAUUGGCGUUGUGCUCCAACCAGGGCACAGCAUCCCCCGUUCUUGCAGGAGGACGUGGGGCGCGGUGGAGGUGCGGCCCGAGAGUGAUGUGCAACAGCCAAUGCUUCUCAGUGGGGUUGAACACUAUUCGUGUGAUGCAGUGUUUUCACUCGGGAGCCAAAAACAGGUCUGUGAUGCCCUUAGAUGCUCUGGGCUGCACGCGCACGACACUGAUGCUUUCCACGUGUCCAAACGCAUGUUCCGUUCGCAGUGGGGUUUUGUACCCUUCACUUUCUCAGGUGUUGUGGCGUAGCUGUGAAACCGGAUCAAACAGUUCCAGGAACAUGCCUCUUUUGAAGGUGAAACGGGCAAUCCCUGGAAUCUGCGUCGUGAUUGGGCUCGGUGAUUGCGAACUGUUUGCCUUCAAAGAGGAAUGCCUAGUACGAGCAAGUCAUUAGCUUGCGCGGAUUGAUGUCUCUGCCAUUUGUACACACCGCCCGUCGUUGCUACCGAUGAUGACGUGAUAAAGACCAGAGGAGUGCUCGUGCGAGCAAGAGUACGCUGCCAGAAAACGGGGCAGCCUCUUCUUGCGCGAGGCAAAUCUGUGCAAUAUCACUUCGUUCGAGGAAGCAAAAGUCGUAACAAGGUAGCUGUAGGUGA